AAUAAUUAAACUGAGUUAUCUUAAUCAGCGUUUCCAAUUUGGAUUAUUUUUAUUACUUUAUAAAGAGAACUCCUCUUUCCUUUUCCAGAGAUUUCAUCCACACUUGAUUCUCCAAAUAACUUAGCGCUCAAGAGAAGUUGGUACGUUAUCCUCUUAUGAGUGAAGAGACUGAGACCAAGAAAGAAGGUGUUUAUCUCAGAUGAAGACGGUCCACGCUGGUGGGUGCCUGCCCGCAAAUCGGACCCACUUCCGCGUGCUAUGCACCUGGCAUUCAAUUCCAUCGUCAACUGGCUCCGACCUCACUCUGGGACCUUCCAUCCUACCUCUGACUUCCAGGUAAAAUCACUUGCUUCCUCCCAAUAAAGAAGAAAUGGACAUGAUUAUAUUGGCCGCACCUGCGAUAGGCAAUUGGUUAUUUUCAUCAUAAAGUAUCAUUUCCCAGGCCAGGAGCAUAAAAAAGAAAAAAAUAAAACCCAGCCAAUCAAGCA
rnacentral:lncRNA from 1 species